rnacentral:rRNA from 1 species
AUUGAACGCUGGCGGCAGGCCUAACACAUGCAAGUCGAACGGUAACAGGAAACAGCUUGCUGUUUCGCUGACGAGUGGCGGACGUGUGAGUAAUGUCUGGGAAACUGCCUGAUGGAGGGGGAUAACUACUGGAAACGGUAGCUAAUACCGCAUACCGUCGCAAGACCAAAGAGGGGGACCCUCGGGCCUCUUGCCAUCGGAUGUGCCCAGUUGGGCUUAGCUUGUUGGUGGGGUAACGGCUCACCAAGUCGACGAUCCCUAGCUGGUCUGAGAGGAUGACCAGCCACACUGGAACUGAGACACGGUCCAGACUCCUACGGGAGGCAGCAGUGGGGAAUAUUGCACAAUGGGCGCAGGCCUGAUGCAGCCAUGCCGCGUGUAUGAAGAAGGUCUUCGGGUUGUAAAGUACUUUCAGUGGGGAGGAAGGGAGUAAAGUUAAUACGUUCACUCAUUGACGUUACCCGCAGAAGAAGCAACGGCUAACUCCGUG